GCAUCCAUCCGAGCGGGAAACCGUUAUGUCAACGCAGCUGUGUAAAAAAAGCUUUGUCUUUGAUCUCUUUUUAAUUGAAGUUUCGUGGGACGAGCAUCCUAAUUUUCGGAUUUCGCUUAUAAAUUCUAAUGUGUUGUAUAUCAGGAUGGUGUUGUAAAUUACAAUGGUAAGAACAUAGGUGAAGAUAACAAUAUACAAUAUAUUUUAAUGACAAUUAUUGUUAUUUAGAUUUUCUUGUUUAAACAUUAACCU